rnacentral:rRNA from 1 species
AUUGAACGCUGGCGGAAUGCUUUACACAUGCAAGUCGAACGGUAGAGGGGGCAACCCCUCGAGAGUGGCGAACGGGUGAGUAAUAUAUCGGAACGUGCCCAGUCGUGGGGGAUAACGUAGCGAAAGUUACGCUAAUACCGCAUACGAUCUACGGAUGAAAGCGGGGGAUCGCAAGACCUCGCGCGAUUGGAGCGGCCGAUAUCAGAUUAGGUAGUUGGAGGGGUAAAGGCCCACCAAGCCAAGGAUCUGUAGCUGGUCUGAGAGGACGACCAGCCACACUGGAACUGAGACACGGUCCAGACUCCUACGGGAGGCAGCAGUGGGGAAUUUUGGACAAUGGGCGAAAGCCUGAUCCAGCCAUUCCGCGUGCAGGAUGAAGGCCCUCGGGUUGUAAACUGCUUUUGUACAGAACGGAAAGGUUUCUACUAAUACUAGGAGCUCAUGACGGUACUGUAAGAAUAAGCACCGGCUAACUACGUGCCAGCCGCCGCCGUAA